GACGAACGCUGGCGGCGUGCUUAACACAUGCAAGUCGAGCGAGGCCCCUCCUUCGGGAGGGUGUCCUAGCGGCGAACGGGUGAGUAACACGUGGGCGAAUCUGCCCCUACGCACUGGAAGUAAACCCCGGGAAACCCGGGGGCGUAAUACCGGAUACGACCUAGCAGGGCAUCCUGCAUGGUGGAAAGAUUUAUCGGCUAGGGAUGAGCCCGCGGCCUAUCAGCUAGUUGGUGGGGUAACGGCCACCAAGGCGACGACGGGUAGCCGGCCUGAGAGGGCGACCGGCCACACUGGGGACUGAGACACGGCCCAGACUCCUACGGGAGGCAGCAGUGGGGAAUAUUGCGCAAUGGGCGAAAGCCUGACGCAGCGACGCCGCGUGAGGGACGAAGGCCUUCGGUU
rnacentral:rRNA from 1 species